GGAAGCAUAGCUCAGCUGGGAGAGCACCUGCCUUACAAGCAGGGGGUCACAGGUUCGAGCCCUGUUGUUUCCACCA
rnacentral:tRNA from 3 species